UAGCUCAGUCGGUUAGAGCAUGGUGCUGAUAACACCAAGGUCGCAGGUUCGAUCCCCGU
rnacentral:tRNA from 1 species